CACUGCAAGAAUCAAAGAGAUUGAAUUUGAUAAUCUCACAGCUGUGAGAGUGCAUCUGUCAUUCACAGGUUCAAACUCACAACCAACCAUAAACAGGGUUCGACUGUUGAAAGGGCUGCAAUCUUGCAAAGUAACAUAAACUGAACUUGUAUCUGAUGGAAAGAACAACAACAAAGAGGUAAACUUCCUGCUUGCCUGAAAGUGAGAACCGUACUUGAAAGUCUCUCCAACAAAGCUACAGCUGAUUUUAUGUAAAGUUGGGGAAGCCUGGGCUCAGGAACUGGCGGACGUUGAGAAGAGGAAGGAUUGAAGGACGUAUGAAUUUUCAGCUGUGUUAGUCUAGCCCUGGAGCAACGGUGUCUUUGAUUGGCUGGCUUUCUAGCACAGUCCCGGGAGUGAGGCGCUUGCUGAUUGGCUUUCGUCUGAGUGCGAGGCCUGUCACUGAUUGGCUGACAUUCAGAGGCUUGGGGCUGGCAUGGAUUUGCUCACAGCCAGAAGCAUAGUUACUGGAGUGAGAAUAUUGCUGAUUGGCUGAUUUUCAGAACAAAAAUCGGCCCAUGGUGUGUCAGGCUCUGUCCACAUGAAGACAACGGCGAACAAGAAGAGAAAAUCUAUUUCAUGUGGCUAUUUUGUUUUGCUUUUUCUUCCGCAUCUACUCUAACCUACGAUUUCUUGUUAUACUGUAACCAUUCAAAUCCUUUUUGGAUCAAGACAGUGUAUAGGAUUCUAAGCAGAAAGCCAACGUGUCUGCCCAUGCUGCCGCCAAGUUGCUAUUUGGUAAAUGAAUGAAUCAGUUGCAUUCGUGUAGCAAGAAGGUCAACCAAGGAGUCAGGAGUCUCAGGCGUCCUGCAUUACUCUGUGGCUUCCUACUCAGAGGAGUUCCCAUCGUGGUGCAGCAGAAAUGAAUCCAACUAGGAACC